UGGGGAAUAUUGGACAAUGGGCGAAAGCCUGAUCCAGCCAUGCCGCGUGUGUGAAGAAGGUCUUCGGAUUGUAAAGCACUUUAAGUUGGGAGGAAGGGCAGUAAGUUAAUACCUUGCUGUUUUGACGUUACCAACAGAAUAAGCACCGGCUAACUUCGUGCCAGCAGCCGCGGUAAUACGAAGGGUGCAAGCGUUAAUCGGAAUUACUGGGCGUAAAGCGCGCGUAGGUGGUUUGGUAAGAUGGAUGUGAAAUCCCCGGGCUCAACCUGGGAACUGCAUCCAUAACUGCCUGACUAAAGUACGGUAGGGGGUGGUGGAAUUUCCUGUGUAGCGGUGAAAUGCGUAGAUAUAGGAAGGAACACCAGUGGCGAAGGCGACCACCUGGACUGAUACUGACACUGAGGUGCGAAAGCGUGGGGAGCAAACA
rnacentral:rRNA from 1 species